rnacentral:rRNA from 1 species
GAUGAACGCUGGCGGCGUGCCUAAUACAUGCAAGUCGAGCGAACAGAUGAGGAGCUUGCUCCUCUGACGUUAGCGGCGGACGGGUGAGUAACACGUGGAUAACCUACCUAUAAGACUGGGAUAACUUCGGGAAACCGGAGCUAAUACCGGAUAAUAUAUUGAACCGCAUGGUUCAAUAGUGAAAGACGGUUUUGCUGUCACUUAUAGAUGUAUCCGCGCCGCAUUAGCUAGUUGGUAAGGUAACGGCUUACCAAGGCAACGAUGCGUAGCCGACCUGAGAGAGUGAUCGGCCACACGGGAACGGAGACACGGUCCAGACUCCUACGGGAGGCAGCAGUAGGGAAUCUUCCGCAAUGGGCGAAAGCCUGACGGAGCAACGCCGCGUGAGUGAUGAAGGUCUUCGGAUCGUAAAACGCUGUUAUUAGGGAAGAACAAAUGUGUAAGUAACUAUGCACGUCUUGACGGUACCUAAUCAGAAAGCCACGGCUAACUACGUG